GUAUUGUUUUGGCUUUGGCUGUGAUGUCUUUGUCACCCCUUUGAUCACCAGAGUUGAUUGGGCUGAUCUGGCUGUUCAGGUGGGUGACCCCUUCCUCCCUCACCUCUCCAUGUGUGUCCCUCCCAAAGCUAUGUACUUGUUUGAAGAGGACGACCUUCCCAGAAUAGAGGAGGACCAGUCUUCAGUCAAGGGUAUAGGAGUUACUGCACUCAUGUGCUAGAACCUCCAAACAAGCUCAAAAUUUAAAAAUAUUUUCUCCUCUUCAACCUGUGAUUGCUCUACUUUGGCAAGACUGGCUAACAAAUAGUUUUAAAUCAUUCAGAUUUACCAAAGCUUCU
rnacentral:snRNA from 1 species